UGUGCCAUGGGUGUGGCCCUAAAAAAAAAAAAAAAAAAAAAGAUGAAAAAAAAUUACCGUUUUAGACUUACCACUUCUGAACUGUGUUCUUUCUUCCUGUCUCGCUCCCUUUUUUCCUUCCUUCCCCUGCACAUAUGGUGUAUGAAAGUUCCCAGGCAUCUGUGAUCUCUGCUAUAGCUGCAGCAGCACCAGCUCCUUGACCCACUGAGUGGGGCCAGGGAUCAAACCUGCAUCCUCAUGGAUACUAGUCAGGUUCUUAACCUGCUGAGCCACAGCUGGAACUCCUGAACUGUUUCCUUAGGAAAAACUUUGAGGGCUAGGAUUACUGGGUCAAAGGGUAAGAACAGCUUUAUGAUAGUCCUUUAAGGCCACAAGGUUUUUUUUUGUGCUUAUCCCACUUGGGGAGGUGAGGAAAGGAGAGCAAAAUGUCAGCAUGUUUAUGAACGGGGAGUUCUGACAUAAAAAUCAAAAGUGACAGCCUUAUACAAGUUGAGGCCUGCUGACUGCAACUGUGUUUUAGUUUCUAAAGUUAAUAAAAUUUCUAUCACCAAGAAAGAAAAAGCAGCUGAAGCAACACAAGCAGUUGGACCUCUGAUUGAGUGAGGUGGCUGUGGGGGUAAAUUGGGCAAUUCUUUGCUUCUGUGUGCAGGUGAUCCCCGGGGGAGCAGGUCCCUGCAUCUGACAGGGAAUGAGCACAUAACCAGAACAUACAGUCCUAUUGUCAGAAUAUGUCAUAAGAAGGUGGGUAGGAACAUGUGUUAUAAUGAAUUGAAUCUUUUGCCUCUUUUUUUUUUUUUUUCCCUUUUUUUCUUAGGGCCACACCUGCAGCAUAUAGAAGUUCCCAGGCUAGGGGUCUAAUCAGAGCUGCAGUUGCCUGCCUACGCCACAGCUACAGCAACCCAAGAUCCUUAACCCACUGAGUGAGGCCAGGGAUCGAACUUGUAUCCUUAAAGACACUGUGUUGGGUUCUUAACCUGCUGAGCCACAACGGAACUCCUUGCCUUUUUGAAACUCAACUGAAGUUGGGGUUCAGUAGCAUCCAAGCCUCUGACAAAGAAAGCCAUCAUCUUUGUCCAGGUCCCAGCAGAAGACGUGAGCAAUAGAGCAUUUCACCUUAGAUUUCAGAGUGGGAGAUUAGAGAAAGGGGAAUUUGGUACCACUGCCUUCUGGCCAACUUCACUGUCACCUUUAAAAAUAGGCUUAUCUUCUUUUUCCUCUGCCUGGUUGAGGCUCCUCAGUUUUAUAGACCUGUGGAGGGGAGUUCGAACAGGUGGGGACAAACCAUUUCCUCUCACUCUUUAGCUUAAUGUGUAAGCUAUUCAGAAAUACGUUAUUCAAGGCCAUCAAUGGAUAGUCAGUAAGUAAGUAUUUAUUGAACUCCAAAUGUGUAUCGGGCAUUAAAAAUAUGGAUGUGAAUAAGGAAGAGAAUAUCUGAUCCUUAAGUAGCUGAUUGAAUUGAAUGAGUGAAUCCAGUUUUAUCGUUACUUAUUAAGGAUGAUUGUCUUUAAAAGACAUUUUUUAGCAGAUGUUCAGUGGUUUCUCAGGUUUUAUAAAAAUUAUUAGAGAAUAAACAUUUUCCCAUGAGUUUAAGAAAAAUGUAAUUUUCCACAUAUGAAUUGUUAGUUCCUAUUCUUCAGCAUUGACAAUUCAAAAAAACAAAACAAAACAAAACAAAAAACCCACGUUUGGCAGAAGGGAGUGAAACUCUGAGAAGUUAAUGCAUUGUCCCAGGUCAUACUGGAAAUAAAAUAAGAGUCAGACCAAGAAACAGGGUCACCAACUCCUGGCUGGUGUUUGUUCUUCUAUGCAUUCCAAGCACUAUCUCUAAACAUAUCUUUCUAUCCCUGUCUUAAGGAUAAUAUGAUUUGUCUUAUACUCCUUAAUUAAGGAGAACGGGCCUCUGAGAAGCGCUGUUUCUAUAGAGCCCGACUUAUGCUUAUUCUGUAACUUUGGAAUUACAGAACAUUUUCUCACUAAAGUUGAAAUGGGAGAAGGCUGGGUUUUGUAUGAUUACUGGGACCAGAGAGGCCAGUGACAUUUUUUAUUUCUGAUUUUCCUUGCAGAGGUGAAAAUAUGCUUCUCACUUGUACCUUACACCUCCUUUCUUUAUGUUUUAAAGUUCCAUUCCCUUUUUAUAGCACCUUAGGGAUUCCUCCUUUCCAGACCUCUCUCUACUCCUUCUCUAAUAUCCAAACCAAUAUUCUUUGUAUUUUUCUGAUAAAAUAUUUCUUGAAUUAAUUAGGCAAAGUCAAGUUCUUUCUUGAAUUAAUUAGGCUUAUAACUAUACCUGUUACAAAAGAAUAAUACUUAGGCCUAAGACAUGGUCUGUUAACUCCAGUUUCUAUAUAGUAGCUGAUCUUUAUCUUUGUGUAUCUUAAAAUUACUGCUAUUGAAAACAUUGAAUUACUGUAGAGCUAUAACUAUCACUCAGGCAUUUUAAAAAAAAAUUGCAGGUUACAAAUCUCAAAAUUAAAUUAAUUAAAAUGUUUAGUUGGGAGUUCCCUUCAGGGCUCAGUGGUUAACAAACCUGACUAGGAUCCAUGAGGAUGUGGGUUUGAUCCCUGGCCUCACUCAGUGACUUAAGGAUCCAGCAUUGCCGUGAGCUAUGGUGUAGGUCACAGACACAGUUCGGAUCCCACAUUGCUGUAGCUGUGGCUGUGGUUGGCCGCUGUAGCUCCACUUCGACCCCUAGCUUGGGAACUUCCAUAUGCUGAGGCAUUGGCCAAAAAAUAAAAAAAAAAAUUAUUUAUUGAAUGAUAGUUGAUUUAUAAUAUAUUAAUUUCUGCUGUACAGCAAAGUUACUGGUUAUACAAAUAUAUAUUUUUCAUUCUAUUAUGGUUUAUCACAGGAUUUUGAAUACAGUUCCCACUGCUAUACAGUAGGACCUUGUUGUUUAUCCAUUCUAUAUAUAAUAGUUUGUAUCUGCUAAUCCCAAACUCCCAAUCCAUCCCCCCGCUCCCAUGGCAACCACAAAUCUAUUCUCUAUGAAAAACCUCAGAAGUUCUGAUAAUCAAAUGGGCCUCUUUUCAUACUCAAUUUCACUUUUAUAUGUUAAAGAAUGAGUUUCAUCGUGAUAGUUUAGGGAGAGCAUUACAAAGUUAUCUGAUACAAUCAUGCAUUGCCAUUAUUGAUUGGUGCAGUUGAAAUAGAUUAUCUGUUGCUAAAAUGUGUUAACAUCUAAGGAACAUAUGCAGGAACUAGUAAUUGCCCCCUAGUUUUGUGAGACCUCAUACAUACUCAGGCUUAAUUUUAUUCCCUUCCUGAUUUAAAACAGCCCGCCCAAUUGGUAGGGAAUAGUUGCACUUGGCUGAAGACUCAAGUCCAUUUGCUGCUGGUAACUUGUGUGAGGAUCCAGCAAGUCAUGUCCCAGGCUGGUAUCUAGCUGUUAAGAGCUUGAACUUGGUCAUCACCAGGUCUUCUGUUUUCAAGAUUUUAGCAGUCUAUAAGGAUUGAAGUUCCAGUCUUCCUUUCAAACCAAGUAUUUCACUUUAUCAAAAAGGAGUGAUAUUGUAUAUGGAUGUUGAAUGAAAACCAGUGAUUAAAAAAGAGUUGGCAUAAUCAAGAUGCCAGCAGUCUUGGUGGAAUGGAGGUGGUGCUGGCCCAAGUUUUCCAGCCUCAUUGUCACUUUUCAUUUAGUAUUUAAUUCAAAGAGUCUCUGUCCUGCUUACAGUGAGAAAGCCAAUGUCCCCACCAACAUGUCCAAGUAUUCUUGGGGAGGGGGACACUGGCUAAUAUUUUUUCUAUUCAUGUUUUGAUAUAAUAUUCUGAUUCCAUUAAAUUUUCAGUCUCUUAGCUCUCCUUUUUCAGCUACUCCCUCUUUUAUCAUUGCAUUGACUAUAAAUGCAGAAUAGCAUUCAUUUUUUUUCAUAUUUUAUUCAAAUCAGUCACACAACAUAAUUAUGUACUGAAGCAUUAGGAUAGAGGGUUUACCUCAAAGCUCAGCCUAGUGGGCAACUUGUGGAACUUACCAGCCUCUCAGGUUCCUAGCUGUGCCUUGGUCACUCCCACUUUUGAAAAGUUCCAGACUGGCUGACUCCUCUCCCAUCUGCCCUCCUCACCCCCCAUGUUUCCCAAAGCUCCAUACUCCUACUUUAUUAUACCUAACAGCUUAGCUCUGUUUCACAGCUAGAACAUUGGUGCUCUUUGCAGCCUGGGAGGAUUUCAAUGUAUAUGCCUAAACAAAGAUAAUUCUUUCCCUAAAAGGAAUGCUGCCUCCACUUUACAAGUAUUUAUUUUUUCCUUUUGGGCAAAGUAAGAUGGCAAGUUAGGGAGUAGUGAGUGGGAAGACUUGGAAGCAGCUUGGGAAGAGGAUGCUGGGAAAGGAAAUUGGCAUCACUGAUUUGCUUACCACCUGCAGUGCCCUGGGCAAGGGUUUUACAAGUAUUAUCCCAAUUAUCAUCCCAACAAGCCUAUGAGGUAGAUAAUAUUGUUUCUCCUACUAUAAAGACAAGGAAACAGGUUUGGGGAGGUUCAGUAACUUGCUCAGGAGCAUAAUGCUGAGUGGCAGAUCUGGAAUUUGGAUACAGGCAGACUUUGUAAAUCACUGUAAAAUGCUGCUGCUGCCUGACCCAUUAUGCUGACGCCCUGCAUCCAUUAUUGCAUUCUGUUCCUGUGAGUUAUGUGCAAUUUUCAUCCUUUUUUCCCCAAGAAUAAACUUUCCAGAAGUCUCAGAGUUGGGAUGUGGUGGCGCCAGGAGUCAAACCCAGCUUGCAUCACUAAUACCCUAAGUCUAUGUGGCAUGUUGCCUUGAUGGGCUUUCCGCUUAAAAUAGUCAUGUAUCUGUACCUUUACUUGGGCUUAACAAGCAGAAUGUAUAAUGACCCCAUUAAAAUUUUUCCAGCCUUUAUAAUAAAAAUCACAGUGUUGAUGCCUGAGAACAUUUUUUUUUUUUUUAAAGUUUACAGUGUGAGCAAUAGAAUAGGAGAAAGAGUGCAUCAAGGAAGAUUAAACACUUUCAGAUAGUAAAGACACUACUGGGCAAGAAAUAUACACACUUGGGAUUGUGAGGUAAGGGUAUUGCUCUAAUUUUGGAAUUCCAAACCAUGGGUUCUGUCAAGAAACAUCUUACCAUGUACUUCAACUUGUCAGAAAUAAACUGGCAAGAAUGAAAAAACAUCAUUUAGGUUAAAUGUUGCAAUGAAAAUACUGUUUCCACUGUCUUUUGAAAAUACAGUGCUUGCAGAAAUAUCUUGCACAUAAAAAUUAUGGAAAUGGUGAUAGGGAUAUUGAAUUUAUUUAUUUAUUUAUUUACUUUUUAGGGCCACACCCACAACACAUGGAGGGUCCCAGGCUAGGGUUUGAAUCAGCGCUGUAGCUGCCAGCCUACACCACAGCCACAGCAACACAAAGUCCGAGCCGCAUCUGAGACCUACCCCAUAGCUCACGACACCACUGAUCCUUAGCCCACUGAACAAGUCCAGGGAUUGAACCUGAAACCUCAUGGUUCCUAGUCGGAUUCAUUUCCGCUGCACCACGAUGGGAACUUCAAGUCUGUUUUUAAAAAGUAGCUUAAUGGAGAAAUUAAGAGAAUGUAGAAUCAAUAGCAUGAAUAGCAUCCAUCAAUAUCCAUCCCACGGGGUGCCUGAAUUCCUUUUUUGAUGUCCUUGGCAGGUGUUUGUGCAGCCUUUUUUUGGUUACCUCUAGUGUUGGAGAGCUCUCUUUCCUAAUUCAGGGAGGGACUUUCUUAGGGAAAUGGGCUGUGUUAGGUGUUACAUAAUUCAGUGUAAUGAUGAAAUAUGUUUUCUGGUAUAAUCUGUUGAUUUUUGUUUUUGCUUAGUGAAACAGGAGAGAUUUAAUUUCUCCUGUUUUGUAGAUGUGGUUCAAAUCCUUUUCAAAAUGUAGGAAAUGUGAACUUGUGGGAACAAUGUUAGACGUGGAGUAAGGAGCCACUUGCAUCUUUGUGCGAUUCCCGAGAAUCCCUUCUCUUGGCUGUUUUCUAGGCGCAUCUCUUGGGGUUGUUUUAAGAGUUAAAUGCAAAUGAAUCUGAAAUCAGUUUUAAUAACACCACUUUAUUGUUCUGUACUUUAUGAGUCAUUAAAUUGAGGCAGGCAAUGCCCUAAAUGUAGUCAGAUGAGUGUAGAGUGCAGUGAGGCAGAUACUUUGCUUAAUUAUACAGGAAUUGUCAAGACCUGGAGCACUUGCGAGCCCAGAGUUUGCGUGGGGGUAGGGGGUGGAUUCUAGUUGUCAAAAAUAUUUCAACGCUAGGAAAGGGAGCACGUGUUCCAAUCUACCUGCAGGCAGGGCAGAUAUUUCCUGUAAAAGAUGCUCCCAGCUUCCCUUCCCUGAAGCUCUGGGUCCCAGAUUCAUUCCAUCAGCACCCAAGGACCUCCCACAAUGAAGUAGUUUGUCCCUUGAGGGCUGAGGUCCUGAUCAGAUUCCAGCAGGUGGGUCUUGGCUCUAGGACCCAAUCCAGCUCUGCUCACCUUUCCUGGGGUGAGACUUUACUCAUCUGAUAGUGAAGGGCCUGCCCUUACGGGGAGACUUCUGUACUCAACCAUUACCUGCCUACUUUCUAUCAUUGGUGCCUUAGUUACCUCAACUCUCUGUUCAACAUUUUGUAUUGGAUUCACUUAAUAAGAAACCAUUUCCUACAUAAUGCCUCCAGUUUUCUAAACUUCUGAGAUAGUAUGUCUUAGAUGAGUGAAUUAACAUUUACAUACUGCUAUAGAUACAAUAGAAAGACCUGCUGUAGAGCAGAGGGAACUCUACUUAAUAUUUUGUAAUAACCUAUAAGGGAAAAGAAUCUGAAAAAAAUAUGCAUAACUGAAUUACUUUGCUGAACACCUGAAACUAACACAACAUUGUAAAUGGACUACAGUUAAAAAGAAAAAAGAAAAAAAAAGAGUGGUUUUCAAAAUACGGUCUUUGAACCAGUAGAAUUAGUAUCUCCUGGGAACUUGUUGAGAUGCAAUUUUUUUAGGCUCUAUGUCAGCUGUACUGUAUCAGAAACUCUAGGGAUAGGAUCCAACAAUCCACCUUCAGGGGACUCUGACUCACCUAAAUGUUUUCACACCCUGUCCUGCACUGUCUGGUUGUCCUCUGUGAAGGCAGAUGAGGCCACUUCAACCACAUUUUCACCGCCCACUCCCCCCGUACUAGUCCUAGAGUAGAUUUCUGCCUAGUUUCAGUGUUCAUUCUACCUCUACCAUCUUGUUGCUCAAAUCCAUCAAAAAGAUCAUGAUUAUUUCUAUAUAUCAAGAGUCCAGGCUAAGUAAGAUCACCAGGAGAGCACAAUAAGCCACAUAUUCUGGUUCUGUGACUUACAGACCAUCCUCAUCUGACCUAGCUGGGUACUUGCUCUGCAAUGGCAAAUAACACAAAUUCUUUAAAGAACAAAAGAAAUGCUGCUGGAGGCGGUGGUGGGGGUGGUGGAGAAGCCCAAAAGAUUGAAGUCAGUUUGGAUAUAACCCUGUAUCACACUCAGGAUAACUUCCCUGUGUUUCCUUCUUUUCUCCUCUGUUCUAGUUCUGAUUUUCUUUCUUAUAGGAGCAGAUGAGUAGUUUGACAAAGCUUUUAGCUCAUGAAAAGAGCAUUACCUUAUUUAUAGACUUUGGGCGUUACUAUCUAGAGGUUUAAAUGUGAAAGCUGAGGUAUGGCUUCAUGACUGCUCUUAAUUUCCUCAGGAAUAACUAAUAACAAUACAUCAUUGUUUAGCAGCUCUGGUUUUCAUUAAAUUUAAUUAAAUCUCCCAGAAGCUUUAAAUUUAGGCUAACUUCAAAAUGCAGGUGGCUUCUGUUAAGUAUAAUUAUAUUUCCUUUACAGCUGCCAUGGUUUGGGAAAACUGGCCUGUCAGACUUAAAAUCUCUAACAAGCUUACCAGUCCUUGGGUUUCAGAGAGACCAUUCCCAAGCUCAGCUCUCCCUCCCUCCCUCGCAUCCCUCUUUCCUUCCCCCUUUUGCUGAAAGCUAAGGCGAAUGUGAACCUAACAAAAGUUGCCCAAUGGUGCUUACAACCUCACUCACGAGUUAAGGUCAACAUUUCUGAGAUUCGUUUUGUCAGAUGGAGUCCAAGACAGUCUUGGUUGACCACUGGGACUUAUAAAGGACUGUGCACAUGUGCAGUGAAGGCAGUGCAGCAAUAUUGCCGAAGGCCUUUGGUGAACCAUCCGUACUUCCCAGACGGCAAACUGAGUCAUGAGAAGGGAUCUGCUCAAGGGCAGUUUUCUGAAGCCUGCAACUAACAACAUUGUAAAUGGACUACAGUUACAAUGUGGGUGGGAAAACUGAGGCCGGCAUGGGGGGUAGGGAGAGGAGUUAUUUAACAGGUACAGGGUGCAGCACUGGUCCUCUAGGCUCCAAGGUUUUCACAGGAAAAUUCUUCCUCGGAGGUCCCAGAAAAAUUGCAUUUUUGUAAUUGUGCUGAAGUUUCACAUUAGCAUUGUUCUCACCUAGCUAAGAGCAUAGUAUAUCAUGACAAAGGUAGGGCAGGAAGGUUGCCAGGACUUUGAUGAAGUUCAAAAUUUUUUUUGCACUCUUGAUAUCUGUUGCACUUCCCUGGGUCUGAACACAGAUUAUCUAGGUCAAUUCAAUUUCUUUGGAAGGAAACAAUUUUAAAGUUGCAAGCAGAUAUCUCUACUACUUGUGUACAUUCUGUGGGAUUUCAGCUGGCAUCUAGUGCACAUUUAAUGACGUGCAGGCUUGUGAUGUUGAUCUGUGGUCAAUCAGGGAUCAGUUACAAGCAGUUGAAUAAGUUGUCUUAAUUAGUGUUAUUUUAAUACAGCCAAACCAAAAGUUUUGAAGUUUUGUUUCUAUUUGAUAGUUGUGUAGUGUCUAUAAUAUUACUAUAAUCAAUUUCUCAAUAUUUUCAGUUUUCCUGCUCUCCAUACAAAAUAAAAAUAUUUCUCUCCAAUUAAAGAGUGACUACGGACUGGGUAUUAGAUGAUAUCUGGAAACCUUACUGUUUACUCUAACAAUCCUUAUAUAUGACACUAAUGAUUUAGUGAUGUUGAGUAUCUUUUCAUGUGUGUGUUGGCCAUCUCUACAUCUUUUUUAAGAAGAUUUUUAGUUUGAUGUCAUCCCAUUUGUUUGCUUCUGUUUCCCUUGCCUGAGGAGACAUACCCUUCAAAAUACUGCUCUGACUAGUGUCAAAGAACAUACUACCUGUUUGCUUCCAGGAGUUCUAUGGUUUUAGGUCUUACAUUUAAGUUUGGAUUUAUUAAUCCAUUUUGAGUUUAUUUUUGUAUAUGAUGUGAGAAGGUAGUUUAGUUUGAUUCUUUUGCAUAUAACUGUCCAGUUUUCUCCACACCAUUUAUUGAAAAGACUGUUUUUUCCUUAUGGUAUUUUCUUGCAUCCUUUGCCAUAGGUUAAUUGCUCAUAUAAGUGUGGGUUUAUUUCUGGGCUCUCUAUUCUGUUCCAUUAAUCAAUGUCUGUUUUGUGCCAGCAUCAUACUGUUUUGAUGACUAAAGCUUUGUAGUAUAGUUUGAAAUCAGGGAGCACAAUACCUCUUGUUUUGUUCUUUUUUUCUUAAGAUUGUUUUGGCUGGUCAGGGUCUUCUGUAUUUCUGUACAAAAUUUAGAAUCAUUCUAGUCCUGAGGAAAAUGCCAUUGGUAUUUUGAUAGGAAUUGCAUUGAAUCUGUAGAUUCCUUGGGCAGUGUGGUUAUUUUAACAAUAUUCUUCUAAUCCUUGCGAUUUUUAUCAUGGAAAUGUUCAAGUAUGCACAAAAGUAGAGAGAAUACUAUAAUCAACUAUCAUAUCACUUCAACCCUACAUAAUUCAGUCUGCAUUUCUAAACAAGAACAUUUUCUUACACAAGCAGAACACCAAUGCUACCCUUAAUGAAAUUCUUAAGAGUUCUCAUCACAAGACACUUUUUUUUCUUCUGUUUCUAUACAAGAAGGUGGCUGUUCUUGGGUAGAACCUAUUGUAAUCAUUUCAUGAUGUAUGUGAGUCAAAUCAUGAUGCACUAUACCUUAGACUUACACAGUGCUGUAUGUCAAUUAUAUCUCAAUAUUGGAAUUAAAAAAGGUAGCUCCCUCCUACAGGUGCACACUAAAAUGAAAAGCUACUGCAUUUGACCCCCACACAUAGAGCGAACCCCACCACCCUCUGCCUGGUUU